GUGUCAGCAGCCGCGGUAAGACGAAGGAUGCAAGCGUUAUCCGGAUUCAUUGGGUUUAAAGGGAGCGUAGGUGGUCUUAUAAGUCAGUGGUGAAAUCUCUCAGCUUAACUGAGAAAUUGCCAUUGAUACUGUAGGACUUGAGUAUAGUUGCCGUUGGCGGAAUAUGACAUGUAGUGGUGAAAUACAUAGAGAUGUCAUAGAACACCGAUUGCGAAGGCAGCUGACGAAACUAUAACUGACACUGAGGCUCGAAAGUGCGGGGAUCAAACAGGAUUAGAUACCCUUGUAGUCC
rnacentral:rRNA from 1 species